UGGAGGUGGCGGUGGCGAUGAGUAGUAAUAAACGGGAGGUGGUGGGGAAUGGUAUACUGGUGGUGGUGGAGAAUGAUAGACCGGAGGUGGUGGGAGUGGUAUACUGGUGGUGGUGGAGAGUAGACGGGAGGUGGAUAGUAUACUUUCUUUGGUGGUGGUGGAGAGUAGACGGGAGGAGGGUAGUAUACCUUCUUCGGUGGUGGUGGAGAGUAGACGGGUGGUGGGUAGUAUACCUUCUUCGGUGGUGGUGGAGAGUAGACGGGUGGUGGGUAGUAUACCUUCUUCGGUGGUGGUGGAGAGUAGACGGGUGGUGGGUAGUAUACCUUCUUCGGUGGUGGUGGUGAGUAGACGGGGGGUGGGUAGUAUACCUUCUUCGGUGGUGGUGGUGAGUAGACGGGAGGUGGGUAGUACACCUUCUUCGGUGGUGGUGGUGAGUAGACGGGAGGUGGGUAGUACACCUUCUUCGGUGGUGGUGGUGAGUAGACGGGAGGUGGGUAGUAUACCUUCUUUGGCGGUGGUGGUGAGUAGACUGGUGGUGGGUAGUAUACUUUCUUUGGUGGUGGAGGAGACUUAUAGACGGGUGGUGGAUAGUAUACCUUCUUGGGAGGUGGGGGAGACUUGUAGACUGGAGGUGGGUAGUAUACCUUCUUUGGUGGUGGAGGAGACUUAUAGACGGGAGGAGGGUAGUAUACCUUCUUGGGAGGUGGGGGAGACUUGUAGACGGGAGGUGGGUAGUACACCUUCUUGGGAGGUGGGGGAGACUUGUAGACGGGAGGUGGGUAGUACACCUUCUUGGGAGGCGGGGGAGACUUGUAGACGGGAGGUGGGUAAUACACCUUCUUAGGUGGCGGAGGAGACUUGUAGACGGGAGGUGGGUAAUAAACCUUCUUGGGUGGCGGAGGAGACUUGUAGACAGGAGGUGGGUAAUACACCUUCUUUGGUGGUGGUGGAGAGUAAACUGGUGGUGGAUAGUAAACCUUCUUGG
rnacentral:lncRNA from 1 species